rnacentral:rRNA from 1 species
AGUGAACGCUGGCGGUAGGCCUAACACAUGCCAGUCGAACGGCAGCACAGUAAGAGCUUGCUCUUACGGGUGGCGAGUGGCGGACGGGUGAGGAAUACAUCGGAAUCUACUUUUUCGUGGGGGAUAACGUAGGGAAACUUACGCUAAUACCGCAUACGACCUACGGGUGAAAGCAGGGGAUCUUCGGACCUUGCGCGAUUGAAUGAGCCGAUGUCGGAUUAGCUAGUUGGCGGGGUAAAGGCCCACCAAGGCGACGAUCCGUAGCUGGUCUGAGAGGAUGAUCAGCCACACUGGAACUGAGACACGGUCCAGACUCCUACGGGAGGCAGCAGUGGGGAAUAUUGGACAAUGGGCGCAAGCCUGAUCCAGCCAUACCGCGUGGGUGAAGAAGGCCUUCGGGUUGUAAAGCCCUUUUGUUGGGAAAGAAAAGCAGCAGGUUAAUACCCCGCUGUUCUGACGGUAACCAAAGAAUAAGCACCGGCUAACUACGUG